rnacentral:rRNA from 1 species
CAGCACCCCAAGUGGUCAGGAUGAUUAUUGGGCCUAAAGCAUCCGUAGCCGGCUCUGUAAGUUUUCGGUUAAAUCUGUACGCUCAACGUACAGGCUGCCGGGAAUACUGCAGCGCUAGGGAGUGGGAGAGGUAGACGGUACUCGGUAGGAAGGGGUAAAAUCCUUUGAUCUAUUGAUGACCACCUGUGGCGAAGGCGGUCUACCAGAACACGUCCGACGGUGAGGGAUGAAAGCUGGGGGAGCAAACCGGAUUAGAGACCCGAGUAGUCC